UCCUAAAGGCUUCUGGGAUGCCUCAGCUGAGUGUGAUGAGGCAACUGAGGAGCCUCAGAGAGCAGCCAAUGUUCUAAAGUGAUGCUUCCUGACCUCAUGCUGCAGCUGUGCUGGCAGCCUUGUGCAGAAGCUCUCGGGUAAGGACAGAGGUGAGGAGCUCGGGGGCAGCCCUGCUGCUGCUGAAUUGCACAGAGAUUUACAAGCCCAGCAGAGACGUAUGGAGAAGUUCUGCCUUCCCAAGAAGUCGUGUACAAACAGCUGGAGUUCCCGUGUGGGAUUGUGCUGGCUGCCAAAGACGCAGUGCCAGGAUCUGCUCUUCUCAGCGGAGCGCCUUCCUCUGCAGGCCAGGCAUAAUUCUUCUUUUUUUUCUAAUCCUGUAGCUUUAUGAAAUCCCCACAAUCUCUUUCAUACAAAACUGUCGUGGUUUUGUUGAACACCCAGUUAGAAUCAGAGAAUUGCCAAGGCUAGAAAAGGCACCCAAGAUCGUCCAUGCUACGAAAUCUGUUCUCAGCUGUUUUAGAAGCGUUGUAGAGACGGUGCUAUUUUGUUAGAUGCUUGUGCAGGUUCUUGGGUUUUCUUGGUGCUCGGCAUCUAACGAACCACGAAAUCCAGAGGUGAGGAUUGGAUCGCUCCCUUCCCUGGGAUGCGUGUCAAUACGUCUGUGAAGAGACAACUUUGUUGGCUCACUUUGUUAUUUUUAUCUUAUCCUCUUGGGUUUGAUUCUCUGGAAUGUCUUUGUAGCUCUGAGGAGUCUGUUGAAGCAUUUGUUAAAAACAGCACCAUCUUGCCCAUAGAUAACUUCCCCGGCUCUGAUGCUCUUGGCUGUAGCUCCAGAGUCACACGGUGCUUUUACAUCAGUACAAGCGCCUCUGUUUAGGGCAGAAUACCCCCCGUCGUAUGAGCUCAGCUGCGCAGGAGCACAGCCAUGUGCAGUCCGUGUGCUGCUCCCGCUGGCUCCUUCGUGAAGGGGAGAAAUUGAAGCUCCAGUUUCUCCCAGAACAGACCCAAAAAAGCCAGUGUAUAAGGCACAAAUGAUGAUGGGGUUAUUUGUGAUCCAUAGGGACAGGUGUCCCCGGGGUGCUGAUCAGCCUCCUCUCACCCUCCCACAGAAGAACUUGCGUUUUAGUGCAGGUUCAGGUACGCAUCACUGUGAUUACAAAGUAAAAGGACAGCUCUGUGAAAUCAGAAGACACAGUACCAGGAAUGUUUAAAGGGGAAAUGAGAGCUUUCAUGGCACCUUCGCUUUGAUGCGUGUCUGUCCUUGCAUUCUCACAAGUGAGAGCUUCCUAGAGAGGGGUCUGCUCUUCCCCAGAGAAAGGAGAAGCGCAGGCUGGGGCACAGCCAGCCCCGAACCUCCUCCAGAUGCUGUUAUUGCUCUGCAUUACUGCCCUUUUUUCCACUGCUUAUUUCUGCCCCGUGGAGCCAGCUUGUCUGUGAAACAAACUUUAAAGAAAGAGAUGAUUUAAUAACCUCUUUGUAUUCAUGCUUUUACUGAUGAGGGUUGAAAGUGCUCUGGCAUUCACACAAGUUUCUGUCUCUCUGAAGCCCAUCCCUUUGUUUCACUUCUUUUUCUUCUGCCUUUCAUCAUAGGAAAUGUUUAUUCAGUUUGGAAAAUUCUCUUUUCGGAGGUCCCCUCACGAGUUAGCAGCAUGCCUGGGUGAGGAUAAGGGCAGGGCAGCAGGGAGAAGAGUGCCCAGGGCAGCUGGGGAUGAGAUCUCCAGAGGAGCUGUCGAGCUCCUGCUUUGCCAGAGCCCAGCUGCUGCACAAACAGGGAAGCCAAACCCUAACAGCAGGUUUGUAUAGGUAGCAUCAGAGGAUAAGAUACAGAGAAUGCCAUUUCCCACAGUAGUGAUACCUCUCCAGCAAAACACUACUCUUAGAAAUCAGCAGCAACUUAUCUGUCAAACCUGGGGAGCUGCUGGGACUGAAAAAUAGCGUGGCAAGCCGAACCUGGAUGGAACAUGACAAAACGAGCAGCUGGGCUGCUGAGCCAGGUGGCAGAAUGACUUCUACUGGUGGCAGUGUCACACUGCAAGAGACUGAAGGGAGCAAGCUUUGUGUUGGAUGUAAGUCACUUCUAGUCUUAUGGAACCAGUGGCACUGCUGUGAGCGUGAAAGUGCCGAGUUCUGCUGCUCUGGGGGAGGAAAACCGGUAGAGCACAAUGAGUAAUGCCAUAACUGCCUGAUCAGAAUUAGCACCUGGUUCUUGUCAAGGCCAAUUCAGUAUUGCGUUCUGAAAUGAAAAUUUCAGAGCACAAGGGGAAUAAAACCAAAAGUCAUCCUGCAUCUGUCAGCUGAAUUGGCAGCAGCUGUUAAGGCCAAUAGAUGUUGUUGGAGAGAGACAGCAGGGUCUGAGCAAUGAGCCACGAUAUCCACAAACAGCUGGAAUCAGUGGUGGGAGCAUUUUGCCACACAGAAGAGUAAACAUUGCAGUUCUGUUGAGAAAAUAUCAGUCAAAUUUGGUACUCUGCUAGGAGAUGGUUUAAAAAAAGCCGGGCUGGACUUCACUCCUAACACUUCUGAUGGCAGUAAGGAGUGCAGGUGUGGAGCUGAGCGAGGACACUUGAACAGUUUCUGGUUGAUGCUGGUGUUGUUCUCGAGUGGACGUAAAAAUGGAGCAGCUGUAGAGAAAUGAGCUGGGCUUCUCUGGGCUUUGGUGCAAGCUGCAGGGCAGUGCGCUCCUUAACGCUUAAUCAAACUUUAUAAACCUUAAUGGCGCUAAGCAAUUAGAGGAGUAGAGUUUAAGCCCACUUACGGCGCCCAUGGUUUUCUUCAGAGCUGCCACGAGGUUCUUGAGGGAGAAGAUCUGCAAAUGUCAGCUCCCCUGCUCCCUGCUGGUCUGUGGGGGCCCACAGGCAGGAAACUCAUUGGCAGCCUCAUGUAAUAUUGAAGAGACUUCCUGGACCAAUUAAUUACAAUACUUUAUAUAGUAACUAACGUAUCUCUCAUAUGUAUCAAAGUUUAAUUCAGUUUUAUUCAUUACUGCCACUCAGUGUGGCCCCAGUUCUCUCUUAACAAAGAUGUAACCAUAUUGGUUCAUUGGUAGCUUCCUUUCCUCCGGAUGCUUUCCAAGCAGAAAUACAAAGGCAAAUUUGCCUGGCUUGUCACUGGAGACCUCCAUGGUGGAUGAAGACUUCAUCUGAAGUGUGUGGAUUUCUCAUGAGAGGAGAGGACAGGACAAGGUGUUCAAGGCCUGGCGGGAUGGGGCCCUGGGCAGCGUGAGAUGGGGGUUUGAUGGAUUGAGGAUGAAGAGCAGGCAAAAGUCACUGGAGACGCUGCUGAUUUCGUUCUUAGCAGGUCUGCAGGAAUUUUAAGCAUUUUUUCAAGGGCAAUCUGUGAAAGGCAUUGCACUGUAAAGUCCAGCAGUGUUACAGUCAGUUAUCAAAGAACUUUUCCUUCAAAGGAAGAUGCCCUUCAGGGCUGGAGGAGAAUACAGCCAUCUGUCCUUUCUGCCCUCAUCAGCUCUGCUGGAUUCCUUGUCCCACCCCCAUGAGUCAUGGUCACCUUUGGCUCCUCUGCCCUCCUUUUCUGUGUUUGAACAGGCCAGAAGAUUGCCAGGAGCGGGAUGCUGCCUUCUCUGCCUGCCCAUUUCCUCCCAGACCCCAAACUGCUUCGCUGGUCUCUGAUUCCUCAUCUUUUCAGGCUUCCUUUUGAUGCUUGCUAUAAGUCAGCAGAGACUAAUAGGGAAUAUGUCAGGCAUCCGACUAUAAAAACAUGGUGAGGAUGGAUUAAAAGGGUUACGGUGACAGGAGGAAGGUGGAGCAUUUAGGAAGCAUCAUCUCGCUGCAGUAGAAGUAGCAACAAUGCUCAGGAUGUUUUUACCUGUCCUCCCUCUUCCUAGAACAAAUAUGUGUUCCUGGGCUGCUUUGGCCUCCAGACAAGCUGGUAAUUUGGAGUCAGACUGGUACAGAGAAAUAGUAGAGGACAAAGAAACUAGAGCUCCCCUGGGUCCAGAGAGGAGCUGGAACCUGAAGCAGUUCCAUUUACUGGGUUAGCUUGCAAUGAAUGACAUUUCAGCAACAGGAGCCACUACACCAGCCAGCCUGCUGCUUGCCAAGCUUUCUGGCCUGUUGUGCUUCCUCCGUUCCUCUGCAAAAAGAGGGACUUUGCUGCUGCUGUCCGUAACAGGAUUCUCAUUUUCCUCACUGCAGUCGUGAUGCUCUUCUUCUUGUGAAACCACUCAGCUCAGCCAUCUCAGGGGGCUCCGAUGUGACAGAGCUGAACACAACAGUGACUGAGAUCUCACCGAGUUCAGGGCGUGCUGGAAUGAAUCCUGGGAAAAAAGGAAAACCAAAAGAAUGAAAGUCUUCCUGUCCUCAGUAAGAGAUCAGGUCCCGCAGUGCUGACCGCCCAGGCGGGGUGCAGCCACUCUGCAGGUAGGAUGCCGUGAACUGGGAGAAGCCAAGGACGAGAAAUAAUGUUAGGCACGUCCAGUGUAAACUAAGGGAGUGAAUCACACGAGAGGUACGAAGCCACAUUGUGAGGGAGCCAGGUCUUCCAUCAGGAGCACUUCUGCCCUUGUCUCCCUCCGUCUCAGCCUGGCCAGUAAUGCACAGGUCACUGAGCUGAUGGCUGUGCCUCCAAGGGAUGGCAAUCACUCAGUGACUUUCCUGCGUGCUACAACAAGCCAGAACUUUGGGAGUCAGCUCUCCUUUACGACUGGCUGAGGACUCCGUACCUGGUUAUCCCGAGGCCAACAGCCUCAGAAACCCUGCUAGCUCUGUCACCUCCCCAUGUCUCAGGGAGCUGAGGCUGCGAAACACUGCCUACCAGCAGGGAGUGAGAAGUGAGAGAUAAUUCCCUACUUGUCUCUCUUGCUCUUCUUUCUUUUCUUUCACAGGGCACAAGAGACACUGGAGAGCUUGAAAAUUACCGUCAAACAGAACAAAGUCUGUGAUGUGCAAUUUUUGCAGGUAGCGUUAGCUAACGAAGGCUGUCCUGCUGCUAGGCAAGUGAAGGAUUCCUUGGCAGUUUGCUUGGAAAACAGAGAAGAACAACAAAGCUUGGAACGCGCCGCAGACCUGCAGCUGGGGCAGGGCACUGGGCUGGGGGAGGAGCACCUGCUCUGUGAGUUCAGUGGCUUGCAGGCAAGGUUCACUCAUAACAUCACAUGCUGUCUUCUCCUCCUCUUUGUUUUGUGCUGUCUUUCUGCACGGUCUGGCAGUACGGUGUGAGAUGGAAAAAGGGAGGGGAUGCAGAGCACAGCGAUGAAUUAAUUGCGUUUGCUCAGGCACAAGAUGAACUGUCCAACUCAAAUCACUGUCAUUUCGCAGACCAU